CUGGCGGCAGGCCUAACACAUGCAAGUCGAGCGGUAACAGAUCUAGCUUGCUAGAUGCUGACGAGCGGCGGACGGGUGAGUAAUGCAUAGGAAUCUGCCCGGUAGUGGGGGAUAACCUGGGGAAACCCAGGCUAAUACCGCAUACGUCCUACGGGAGAAAGGGGGCUUUGGCUCCCGCUAUUGGAUGAGCCUAUGUCGGAUUAGCUAGUUGGUGAGGUAAUGGCUCACCAAGGCAACGAUCCGUAGCUGGUCUGAGAGGAUGAUCAGCCACAUCGGGACUGAGACACGGCCCGAACUCCUACGGGAGGCAGCAGUGGGGAAUAUUGGACAAUGGGGGCAACCCUGAUCCAGCCAUGCCGCGUGUGUGAAGAAGGCCCUCGGGUUGUAAAGCACUUUCAGCGAGGAAGAACGCCUAGUGGUUAAUACCCAUUAGGAAAGACAUCACUCGCAGAAGAAGCACCGGCUAACUCCGUGCCAGCAGCCGCGGUAAUACGGAGGGUGCAAGCGUUAAUCGGAAUUACUGGGCGUAAAGCGCGCGUAGGUGGCUUGAUAAGCCGGUUGUGAAAGCCCCGGGCUCAACCUGGGAACGGCAUCCGGAACUGUCAGGCUAGAGUGCAGGAGAGGAAGGUAGAAUUCCCGGUGUAGCGGUGAAAUGCGUAGAGAUCGGGAGGAAUACCAGUGGCGAAGGCGGCCUUCUGGACUGACACUGACACUGAGGUGCGAAAGCGUGGGUAGCAAACAGGAUUAGAUACCCUGGUAGUCCACGCCGUAAACGAUGUCGACCAGCCGUUGGGUGCCUAGAGCACUUUGUGGCGAAGUUAACGCGAUAAGUCGACCGCCUGGGGAGUACGGCCGCAAGGUUAAAACUCAAAUGAAUUGACGGGGGCCCGCACAAGCGGUGGAGCAUGUGGUUUAAUUC
rnacentral:rRNA from 1 species